UUCAGCAACAGUGAAACAGAUAUGCAAGAGCAAUCCUUGAUUUGUGUGUUACUUAGAACUCCUUGGAAGGAAAUCUAAUGCACUGGUGAGACCAAUGGAUAAUGAGAGACAUGUGGUGAUCUGUCCUAGGGAAGAUACUGACAUGUUCCAGAUAUGGCUGCCCUGCCCUCCAAUCUCCUACAUAUGCAUGAAUGAACUCAGAAACAAAGUAAAAGUUGGGAAAUAUCUAUAAGCAGAUUUUCAACAAGAGCAACAAAAAGCCUCUGUGAUGUGAAACAUGAAAAUUGCAAUAUGACUUUAAGCAUAAUCAAAAUUAAUUGAGACCAGUAGACCAGUGUAAGAAUUUCUAUAAGAAGUUACACAGAGAGCCAAGCUGCAGAACCCUAUCAAUGGUAAUCUCAGAAACCUCCAGUUAAAAAUCAUCCCCAGAAGGUGAGGUCCCGGUCAUUAGUAAGAAAUGGUACGAACAGGACUGUUUCUUUGCAGGUGUAGCAGUGAAGAAAUAGAGAGAAGGUGAGGAAAAUGCAGAGCGUACUGCUUUGAAAGUACCAGCAGAAAAACACCUUCCAAAAGUAAUAGGAAAAUCAUGUUGGAUGCAUUAAUGGGAGGCAGCACCUGAUGAAGAAACUUUGGGAGCAUAGGUCAGGUAGGGAAAAGCCUCUAGCACCUGCUUAAAUUCGGAGAUGCAGAAAAGUCAUGGCUGGACAGAAGACAAUAUUGGGAAAAAAUCUCAAAUUAUCUUAUCAUGUGAGGAAGAAGCCCUUUGCAGAGGCUAGAGAAGUUUACCCAGUCACUCUUGUUUAUACCCCGCCUUGUCAGGAAUGAAAUUCUUGCAAAGAACUAGCACAGAAAUCGCCACUUGCCCAAAUAUAGGUAAUCAAAAGGAAGACAGAAAAUAUUCAAAUAAAGAUUAGAUAAGUGACAGAGAGCUACUUAAAAUCUUUCUACAAACUAAUUCCUCAAGUAAAUGUUUCCAUGGAAUAAGCAUUACAAGCCCUGUACCAUGAAUUAAAAACAACUGAGUGAUGAUGAACCAAGCAGAGAAUGCAGGGAAAGUUCAAGAAUACAAGAACUCGCGCAAGAUACGGCCAGACAACCCAUAAACGUGAAAGAACUGACAGAACUCCAAAGAGAAAGGAUCACAAAGCAUAAUAAAACUCCUAGAGAAAUGAGAAAAAGUUAAAGGCCCAACAAUGUAUAAAAAUCUAUAUUUAACUGCUCUGAUUGAAAUGGCUCCUUAAAUCGCAUUAUGCAUUUUAGCUUUUUGUUUGUUGGCUUUUAUGGUCUCCU